UAUACUGUGGUAUAUCCUGUAGUAUUUAGUACCAUGGUAUCUGUUAACAGCACUGUACCAUGUUGCCACCGUACUGUGUUGUUAAUGCUGACAUCAAAUAUGCAUGGCUUAUUUUUUAUUUUAUUUUAUUAUUUUUUUAAACUUGCAAUUUAACCGCAGCCUCAAUGGGUAGUUGUGACAAACUGGUCCACAGUUUAUACAGAAACCUUUACAUAAUUAUUUAAACCGCAGACAGCUUCUCUAUUAUAUCCUCCAUGCUACACUCACACUGCUAAGACAUGCAUAACUGCAAGAGAGGAGUUGCUACAAUAUAGCUAGAACGACUUGUUUGUUGAGUGUACAUUUUGUGAUCUGAUCCAUAAUUUGCCCUGUAGUCAACACAAUAUACAGUAUACUAUGUGACAGGCUAUAUUGGCAAAUAUUUUUCUCUUAUUUAUGGAAAAUGUACAUUUAUUGCAUCUAGAUUGAUAUAAACGUGUGUGUGAGAGAGAACUUCUUUUCGGUCCAUAUUUUGUACAAGUCUCCCAAUCGUUUUCGCCGCACAUCCUCGUGCGUCCCAUGUUUUAGGGAUUGACGCGGUGGAGCUCAUCUCAUGCUGCUGCCGCCGCCGCCGUCUGUCUCACACUCAUGGAUCAUCACAUCCAGACAGGUGCCGUGGAGUGCUGUACCCAUCUGAAACCGUGUCAGCAUCGCGCUUGUGUUCGUCGGGAAAGGAAGCCUAAGAUGAAUGGUGGCGACAGCAUUCAAGACCUCAUCCAAAAGAAAGCCACCCUGCUGUCCAUUUCCAUCUACCUCUGAGAACGUCGUUGAGCCAACGAAAGAAGAAUUAGUCCACCAGUGAACGACAGCAAUGUUGUACAGUCUUUUAAAGUAAGAGCUCUUAAAAAUCCUCAGGCUUUUCUCUUGAUCCAUCAUCAGACCAGUUUCAAAGUCUUCCUCCAACACCAGAACACAGUGUGUCCUUGAUCUGUGAAUAUAAGAGAUGUGAAAAGUAAGACGCACGUGUUCACACAGGAUCAGACGAUCAGGAGGACCCCUGGGUGACAAAUAAUGACAGCAGAGUGAUGGUGACUUCAACAAGCAGGGCUUUGAAGCGCUGAGCUGCACAGGUCACAGAUCAGAGCGGUGUCUUCUGGGGCUGACAGCUGGUCUGAGGGAGGGAGGCUGUCUCUGUG